AUGUAUGUAUGAAUGUCUGUCAGCUCUAUGCCCAACAUGGGGCUUGAACUUAUGAUCUCUAGAUCGAGAGUCGCAUGCUUCAUCAACUUAGCCAGC